UGGGGAAUAUUGGACAAUGGGCGCAAGCCUGAUCCAGCCAUGCCGCGUGAGUGAUGAAGGCCUUAGGGUUGUAAAGCUCUUUCACCGAUGAAGAUAAUGACGGUAGUCGGAGAAGAAGCCCCGGCUAACUUCGUGCCAGCAGCCGCGGUAAUACGAAGGGGGCUAGCGUUGUUCGGAAUUACUGGGCGUAAAGCGCACGUAGGCGGACAUCUAAGUCAGGGGUGAAAUCCCGAGGCUCAACCUCGGAACUGCCUUUGAUACUGGGUGUCUUGAGUUCGAGAGAGGUGAGUGGAAUUCCGAGUGUAGAGGUGAAAUUCGUAGAUAUUCGGAAGAACACCAGUGGCGAAGGCGGCUCACUGGCUCGAAACUGACGCUGAGGUGCGAAAGCGUGGGGAGCAAACA
rnacentral:rRNA from 1 species